rfam:Triticum urartu cultivar G1812 contig428244, whole genome shotgun sequence.
UUCGUACUCCCUCCGUCCGAAAAAGUCGCUCAAAUGGAUGUAUCUAGCACUAAGUUGGUGCUAGAUACAUCCAGUUGAGAAACAAGUAUGGGAGAAGCUUUUUCGAACGGAGGGAGUAUAUG